rnacentral:rRNA from 1 species
UUGACGGGGAGCACCACAACAGGUGGAGCCUGCGGUUUAAUCGGACUCAACGCCGGGAAACUCACCAGAUAAGACAGCUGAAUGAUAGUCGGGCUGAAGACUCUACUUGACUAGCUGAGAGGAGGUGCAUGGCCGUCGUCAGUUCGUACUGUGAAGCAUCCUGUUAAGUCAGGCAACGAGCGAGACCCACGCCAACAGUUGCCAGCUCGUCCUCCGGGAUGGUGGGGACACUGUUGGGACCGCCUCUGCUAAAGAGGAGGAAGGAAUGGGCAACGGUAGGUCAGCAUGCCCCGAAUUAUCUGGGCUACACGCGGGCUACAAUGGGUGGGACAAUGGGUAUCGACACCGAAAGGUGAAGGCAAUCUCCUAAACCCAUCCGUAGUUCGGAUUGUGGGCUGCAACUCGCCCACAUGAAGCUGGAAUCCGUAGUAAUCGCGUUUCAACAGAACGCGGUGAAUACGUCCCUGCUCCUU